AGUGAACGCUGGCGGUAGGCCUAACACAUGCAAGUCGAACGGCAGCACAGUAAGAGCUUGCUCUUACGGGUGGCGAGUGGCGGACGGGUGAGGAAUACAUCGGAAUCUACUUUUUCGUGGGGGAUAACGUAGUGAAACUUACGCUAAUACCGCAUACGACCUACGGGUGAAAGCAUGGGAUCUUCGGACCUUGCGCGAUUGAAUGAGCCGAUGUCGGAUUAGCUAGUUGGCGGGGUAAAGGCCCACCAAGGCGACGAUCCGUAGCUGGUCUGAGAGGAUGAUCAGCCACACUGGAACUGAGACACGGUCCAGACUCCUACGGGAGGCAGCAGUGGGGAAUAUUGGACAAUGGGCGCAAGCCUGAUCCAGCCAUACCGCGUGGGUGAAGAAGGCCUUCGGGUUGUAAAGCCCUUUUGUUGGGAAAGAAAAGCAGCAGGUUAAUACCCCGCUGUUCUGACGGUACCCAAAGAAUAAGCACCGGCUAACUUCGUG
rnacentral:rRNA from 1 species